rnacentral:ncRNA from 1 species
AUAACUUUGCUACCGGGUAAAGUUAAUUCAAGGUGUUCUUAAGCAUUCCAAUAGGUCUUAGAAGGGAUGAUUAUGAACACCUUUUUACU